AAUAUGUUCCCAAGUACCACGAAGUAAGUGGAAUUUUGUGGGAAUUUGCCAGAACCAUCUGGUAAGGCUAAAUACUCUCCCGUAACCGAUAGUGAAUAAGUACCGUGAGGGAAAGGUGAAAAGUACUCCUUAUAGGAGAGUGAAAUAGUACCUGAAACCGUGUGCUUACAAGCAGUAGGAGUCCCGAUUUAUCGGGAUGACUGCGUGCCUUUUGGAUAAUGAGCCAACGAGUUACUCGUAUGUUGCAAGGUUAAUCCCUUAAGCGGAGAAGCCGUAGCGAAAGCAAGUCUUAAUCGGGCGAUUGAAGUAACAUGCGGUAGACGCGAAACCGGGUGAGCUACCCUUGUCCAGGAUGAAGUGAGGGUAAAACCUCAUGGAGGUCCGAACCAGUGUGGGUUGAAAACCGCUUGGAUGAGGUGAGGGUAGGGGUGAAAGGCCAAUCAAACCCGGAAAUAGCUCGUAUUCCUCGAAAUAGCUUUAGGGCUAGCCUCGAGUUAAAGUGUAACGGAGGUAGAGCACUGAUUGGGCUAGGGCUGUCACAACGGUACCAAACCCAGACAAACUCCGAAUUCCGUAUACAUGUUUCUCGGGAGUCAGGCAGUGAGGGAUAAGCUUCAUUGCCGAGAGGGGAACAACCCAGACCACCAACUAAGGUCCCCAAAUGGUAGUUAACAGAGAAAGGAUGUUAAGUUGCUCUGACAACUAGGAUGUUGGCUUAGAAGCAGCCAUUCAUUUAAAGAGUGCGUAAUAGCUCACUAGUCAAGCGACUUGGCGUCGACAAUACUCGGGACUUAAACUACCUACCGAAGUUGUGGGAUUCUGACUUGUCAGGAUCGGUAGAGGAACAUUCUAUAUGCGCUGAAGGCAAACUGCGAGGUUUUCUGGAGCGUAUAGAAAAGCAAAUGUUGGCAUAAGUAACGAUAAACCAGAUGAGAAAUCUGGUCACCGAAAGUCUAAGGUUUCCUGAGCAAUGCUAAUCAUCUCAGGGUUAGUCGGUCCCUAAGCCGAGGCCGAAAGGCGUAGGCGAUGGAUAACAGGUUAAUAUUCCUGUACCUGGUAAAUUUUGUUCGACCGCAAGGAGGGACGCAGGAGUGAAGAUCAGCCACCUGUUGGAUUAGGUGGUCUAAGCAAGUAGGCCGAAAGUGUAGGCAAAUCCGCACUUUCUUAAAGCCGAGAUGCGAACGGGAGUCCGUAGGACAUAAACUGAUCGUAAACAUACUGCCAAGAAAAUCUUCGUGCGGGAGAAAUUUAUUAGACCGUACCGCAAACCGACACAGGUAGACAGGAUGAGUAUUCUAAGGUGCUCGAGUGAGCCGUGGUUAAGGAACUCGGCAAAUUCACCCCGUAACUUCGGGAGAAGGGGUGCCCCCGGUAGGUGAAACUCUUCGCGAGUUUAGCUGAAAGGGGCCGCAGUGAAAAGGCCCAGGCGACUGUUUAACAAAAACACAUGUCUCUGCGAAGUCAAUUAAGACGAUGUAUAGGGACUGACACCUGCCCGGUGCUGGAAGGUUAAGAGGAGAGGUUAUCCCUUCGGGGAGAAGCUUUGAAUCGAAGCCCCAGUAAACGGCGGCCGUAACUAUAACGGUCCUAAGGUAGCGAAAUUCCUUGUCGGGUAAGUUCCGACCUGCACGAA
rnacentral:rRNA from 1 species